rnacentral:rRNA from 1 species
GGGUUGUGAGGUUAAGCGACUAAGCGUACACGGUGGAUGCCCUGGCAGUCAGAGGCGAUGAAGGACGUGCUAAUCUGCGAUAAGCGUCGGUGAGGUGAUAUGAACCGUUAUAACCGGCGAUUUCCGAAUGGGGAAACCCAGUGUGAUUCGUCACACUAUCAUUAACUGAAUCCAUAGGUUAAUGAGGCGAACCGGGGGAACUGAAACAUCUAAGUACCCCGAGGAAAAGAAAUCAACCGAGAUUCCCCCAGUAGCGGCGAGCGAACGGGGAGGAGCCCAGAGCCUGAAUCAGUGUGUGUGUUAGUGGAAGCGUCUGGAAAGGCGCGCGAUACAGGGUGACAGCCCCGUACACAAAAAUGCACAUAUUGUGAGCUCGAUGAGUAGGGCGGGACACGUGGUAUCCUGUCUGAAUAUGGGGGGACCAUCCUCCAAGGCUAAAUACUCCUGACUGACCGAUAGUGAACCAGUACCGUGAGGGAAAGGCGAAAAGAACCCCGGCGAGGGGAGUGAAAAAGAACCUGAAACCGUGUACGUACAAGCAGUGGGAGCCUCUUAAUGGGGUGACUGCGUACCUUUUGUAUAAUGGGUCAGCGACUUAUAUUCUGUAGCAAGGUUAACCGAAUAGGGGAGCCGAAGGGAAACCGAGUCUUAACUGGGCGUUAAGUUGCAGGGUAUAGACCCGAAACCCGGUGAUCUAGCCAUGGGCAGGUUGAAGGUUGGGUAACACUAACUGGAGGACCGAACCGACUAAUGUUGAAAAAUUAGCGGAUGACUUGUGGCUGGGGGUGAAAGGCCAAUCAAACCGGGAGAUAGCUGGUUCUCCCCGAAAGCUAUUUAGGUAGCGCCUCGUGAAUUCAUCUCCGGGGGUAGAGCACUGUUUCGGCAAGGGGGUCAUCCCGACUUACCAACCCGAUGCAAACUGCGAAUACCGGAGAAUGUUAUCACGGGAGACACACGGCGGGUGCUAACGUCCGUCGUGAAGAGGGAAACAACCCAGACCGCCAGCUAAGGUCCCAAAGUCAUGGUUAAGUGGGAAACGAUGUGGGAAGGCCCAGACAGCCAGGAUGUUGGCUUAGAAGCAGCCAUCAUUUAAAGAAAGCGUAAUAGCUCACUGGUCGAGUCGGCCUGCGCGGAAGAUGUAACGGGGCUAAACCAUGCACCGAAGCUGCGGCAGCGACACUAUGUGUUGUUGGGUAGGGGAGCGUUCUGUAAGCCUGUGAAGGUGGCCUGUGAGGGUUGCUGGAGGUAUCAGAAGUGCGAAUGCUGACAUAAGUAACGAUAAAGCGGGUGAAAAGCCCGCUCGCCGGAAGACCAAGGGUUCCUGUCCAACGUUAAUCGGGGCAGGGUGAGUCGACCCCUAAGGCGAGGCCGAAAGGCGUAGUCGAUGGGAAACAGGUUAAUAUUCCUGUACUUGGUGUUACUGCGAAGGGGGGACGGAGAAGGCUAUGUUGGCCGGGCGACGGUUGUCCCGGUUUAAGCGUGUAGGCUGGUUUUCCAGGCAAAUCCGGAAAAUCAAGGCUGAGGCGUGAUGACGAGGCACUACGGUGCUGAAGCGACAAAUGCCCUGCUUCCAGGAAAAGCCUCUAAGCAUCAGGUAACAUCAAAUCGUACCCCAAACCGACACAGGUGGUCAGGUAGAGAAUACCAAGGCGCUUGAGAGAACUCGGGUGAAGGAACUAGGCAAAAUGGUGCCGUAACUUCGGGAGAAGGCACGCUGAUAUGUAGGUGAAGCGACUUGCUCGUGGAGCUGAAAUCAGUCGAAGAUACCAGCUGGCUGCAACUGUUUAUUAAAAACACAGCACUGUGCAAACACGAAAGUGGACGUAUACGGUGUGACGCCUGCCCGGUGCCGGAAGGUUAAUUGAUGGGGUUAGCGGUAACGCGAAGCUCUUGAUCGAAGCCCCGGUAAACGGCGGCCGUAACUAUAACGGUCCUAAGGUAGCGAAAUUCCUUGUCGGGUAAGUUCCGACCUGCACGAAUGGCGUAAUGAUGGCCAGGCUGUCUCCACCCGAGACUCAGUGAAAUUGAACUCGCUGUGAAGAUGCAGUGUACCCGCGGCAAGACGGAAAGACCCCGUGAACCUUUACUAUAGCUUGACACUGAACAUUGAGCCUUGAUGUGUAGGAUAGGUGGGAGGCUUUGAAGUGUGGACGCCAGUCUGCAUGGAGCCGACCUUGAAAUACCACCCUUUAAUGUUUGAUGUUCUAACGUGGGCCCCUUACCGGGGUUGCGGACAGUGUCUGGUGGGUAGUUUGACUGGGGCGGUCUCCUCCUAAAGAGUAACGGAGGAGCACGAAGGUUGGCUAAUCCUGGUCGGACAUCAGGAGGUUAGUGCAAUGGCAUAAGCCAGCUUGACUGCGAGCGUGACGGCGCGAGCAGGUGCGAAAGCAGGUCAUAGUGAUCCGGUGGUUCUGAAUGGAAGGGCCAUCGCUCAACGGAUAAAAGGUACUCCGGGGAUAACAGGCUGAUACCGCCCAAGAGUUCAUAUCGACGGCGGUGUUUGGCACCUCGAUGUCGGCUCAUCACAUCCUGGGGCUGAAGUAGGUCCCAAGGGUAUGGCUGUUCGCCAUUUAAAGUGGUACGCGAGCUGGGUUUAGAACGUCGUGAGACAGUUCGGUCCCUAUCUGCCGUGGGCGCUGGAGAACUGAGGGGGGCUGCUCCUAGUACGAGAGGACCGGAGUGGACGCAUCACUGGUGUUCGGGUUGUCAUGCCAAUGGCACUGCCCGGUAGCUAAAUGCGGAAGAGAUAAGUGCUGAAAGCAUCUAAGCACGAAACUUGCCCCGAGAUGAGUUCUCCCU